GACGAACGCUGGCGGCGCGCCUAACACAUGCAAGUCGAACGGAGUCAAGAGGAGCUUGCUUUUCUUGACUUAGUGGCGAACGGGUGAGUAACGCGUGAGUAACCUGCCCUGGAGUGGGGGACAACAGUUGGAAACGACUGCUAAUACCGCAUAAGCCCACGGAUCUGCAUGGAUCUGCGGGAAAAGGAUUUAUUCGCUCUAGGAUGGACUCGCGUCCAAUUAGCUAGUUGGUGAGGUAACGGCCCACCAAGGCGACGAUUGGUAGCCGGACUGUGAGGUUGAACGGCCACAUUGGGACUGAGACACGGCCCAGACUCCUACGGGAGGCAGCAGUGGGGGAUAUUGCACAAUGGGGGAAACACUGAUGCAGCGACGCCGCGUGGAGGAAGAAGGUGUUCGGAUUGUAAACUCCUGUCGUAAGGGACGAUAAUGACGGUACCUAACAAGAAAGCACCAGCUAACUACGUG
rnacentral:rRNA from 1 species